GCCUAUUCCACUUCCUCAGAAUGCAAGGAAAACAUAAAAAGAGGAAAAUUAUGACCUAAUGCAAAUUUUUCUUUAAGGUAGCUGUGUUCACUUCCCGGUGGGAAGCAGCUGACACAGGGAGGCCUGUGCAGCAGUAGAGACGAGUGUUUCUCUUCCAGGCAAGUGGUUCUAAAUGCUUCUCUCACUCAAAGGAGGAAACAAGUGGGACUUCACAUCUACGCAACUUAAAAGGAAAGAGCUCUGCAUAUCACAGGUGAAGAUAAGAAGCUCAACCUGUGCAUCUUCUUUCAGUCAUGACUGAAUAACAUUAGACUGGUAUUUAAAUAUUUCAGCUGGAAAAACAAACAAACAAACAAAUAAAUAAAUAAAUAUUUCAGUUCCUC
rnacentral:lncRNA from 1 species